CGACAGCCGUGGCUUCAUGAGAGAGAGCAUCAAACACAGAGGAGCCAUGACCCUUGACCUCUCUCAAAUUAUAGGACCUGAGCCUACAUGGGAAGAAAAGUGGAUCAAUUACGUCAAUGUGGUCAACUCCAUCAAGCCCUGGAGAGCAGCUGGCAAGCCCUUUGUGUGCGACCGACUCUGGCUGUGGACGAGUUAAAGUCAAGGAAGGAAGAAAAGAAAAAUCUGGACCAGCUUGAAAGACCUUGUGCUUUUAUUAAACCCGAGAGCACACAAAACGAGACUGCACUGCUCUGGAUGUAGUUUCUCUUAUUUGCAAAGUUUGCAAACUUGACAAAGUUCCCUUUGUAAAGUUCUCUAUG